UAGCUUCAAAAAAUAUGGAGGGUUCCAAACAACCGAGGGUUCGAAUCUGCUCAACUGAACUUGCCUGGACUUCCUUCGCGAAGGCACCCGCCCCUCUCCCAGCUUCGUCUCCGCAUACCCCGGCGACGCUUCCCGCAGUUUGUCCGUCCAUUAGAGACCCGCCAACGUUGAUCUUCAGCCAACCCCUUCUCGAUGGGUUUCACAUCUCGACCAUGGUCGCUUCCGCUAUGCUACUCUAACCUGGUUUUUGGUGGCGCAAGAUGAAAUGGUUCCAAGCCUUCCAAAUGUUCCAGAGAACCCCUGCUACCAAAUCUAGUGAAGACCUCACGAGUCCAGUUGCAUCAUAGAAAAAUAUGCUCAACUGUUUCUUGGGUCUUUUGGCAAAGGGGGCAGAUGGGUUCAGUCCCGUCUCCUACCGACCAUCUCAUGCAUUUGAAACAUGAUCCCUUCCUGUCAAGAUACUUUGCCAUCCCCAAGACGAACAGGAGCCCCUUCGCAGCACUAGAUCUGCCUUCUCCAGAUGUACAGGUGCUUCUUAUCGCUAGCCUAGGUAGCUGGUAGUCUCAGCAGAGCCAAACUAAAAUGGAUGAACUAGCUAUUGAAAACUAGGGUUUCAUCAGUUUGAUACGAGAAACCUUCAGCAUGUCAUAUAUAAAGAAUUCAGAUAGACAAUGGGCUGGCAGUCCUUAAGUAGAUGGAUGUGGAACAGAUGCCUGUUGAAAAAGCUGAAGAAGAUGCUAAUGCUACCGGGUUGCUAGAGAGGGGGUACUUGCGAUAUGAUGUCCUCAUUACUGGUGCAGGUGCUGCAUUAUGGCCCCCUGUUGCAGCAAGAUCUUUAAUUGCCAUCACUAUCAUAAUGAUGUGAAGACAUUCAUGCGGUAUCGUUAAAUUAUGUCUCGAGUAUAAGCCGUUUAUGGAAUCCAACCAUAUUGAAUAAAUAUCCAAGUUUGACAGCACAAUAAAAUUGAAGAGUUGGACUCACCUUUGCCAAAGGUUGGACGAAUGGGAGGAAAGAAGUCCCCUGCCACUGCAAGACAAAAGGAGUUCCUCGUUGUGCGAAUGGCUGCCAGUUGCUUCUUUCUUUGAGAAGCGUGGAGUGGGUUCCUUCAGCAAAGUGCAGCCGCACAAGAAGAAAGAGAGUACAAUGGCCGCACCGUGAUUUCCUGGGGAACACCACAUGAAGAGCGAAAGGAAGAAUCCGAGAGUGGGCGCUUGUUGCUUGGCCGUGAACGGGGGCUAUACACACCGUGGAUUUGUGUUGUGAGUAUUUUUGCGAACACUUUAAAUUAGAGUCUAAUCUAGGUGUGAGAAACACUCGAGUAUGUAAGCGACUGCAAACGUAAAUUUUCUCAUUAUUAGUGAAUUAUCUAUUGCUAGCUCUCUCCGUGGAUGUAGGUACCAACACUCGGUACCGAACCAC